ACUACCAUGGUGACUUGUAAGUGACUCACUAUACUUUAGUACUGAAUCAUCUAAAUUUCUAACUCAAUGAUGGAAGGCUACUGGGUACAGUCAAGUACUUAUCAAGUCGGUGUGUGAGUUAAGGUAGAAUUGAUCCCUCUAAAUUAGUAGAAGAUAUGCAUCGGUGUAUUUCAAUUCAGUAAAAUCUUGAUCAGGAUAAUCCAUGAGAUGGAUUUGAAAGAUUAAAAUAUAAU
rnacentral:lncRNA from 1 species